rnacentral:rRNA from 1 species
UACGUAGGGGGCAAGCGUUAUCCGGAUUCAUUGGGCGUAAAGCGCGCGUAGGCGGCCUGUUAGGUCGGGAGUUAAAUCCGGGGGCUCAACCCCCGCCCGCUCCCGAUACCGGCAGGCUUGAGUCUGGUAGGGGAAGGCAGAAUUCCAAGCGUAGCGGUGGAAUGCGCAGAUAUUUGGAAGAACACCGGUGGCGAAGGCGGCCUUCUGGGCCACGACUGACGCUGAGGCGCGAAAGCUAGGGGAGCGAACA